AGCGAAGUUAGCGAAGAAUCCAAUGGGAAAGAGGCUGUUCGAGGUGAUGAUCGAGAAGGAAAGCAAUUUGUGCGUAGCGGCUGAUGUUGGCACCGCCUCAGAGCUGCUCGACAUCGCCGAGAAAGUUGGGCCAGAGAUUUGCUUACUGAAAACUCAUGUGGAUAUACUGCCAGACUUCACCCCAGACUUUGGUUCCAAACUUCGCUCGAU
rnacentral:misc_RNA from 1 species